GGGAGAGCAGUUUUGCAAGGGGAACUCCUCCGCCUACCUUCUGGUGAAAUGGGGUGCUGCAUUUGGAUCAUUCUGUAACCACGAAACACAAGAUGAAAUGCCAUGGGGUUACCAGGAGGGCAAGGACAGAUGACCUGCAGUCAGGAUCUGAAGACAGCUCCUGGAGGGAAAUGGGGUUUGGAACUCAGUUGGAAGGGCUGAAGCAAGAUGUGAGAGCCCUGUGGAGAGAGGAGGUGUGUUCUCUCUCUCACCUCAGCUGAAUCUGGGCUCAGGAAGCUGCGACUCCUCCAUGUGAAUCCUGGUUCUCUCAUUCAUCACUUGUGUGGCGGGAAGGUGCUUUUAGGUCACCAAGCCUCACUACACUCACCUGUAACAUGAAGAUGAUGAUGCCUACCUCCUCCGACUACUGUGCAGAUUUAAUAGUGCAUGGGACAAGGCUUCCCAUAUGUUUGGCACACAGUAGGUGCUUGGUACACAGCAGCUAACAGUCACGAUGUGCAUGACACUGUUACUCGGGUGGCUACCCUCUCGGGCUCCCGGGUCAUCCUAAAUCCCUCUCUCUCCUCACCAUGUCUAUCCAAAGCAUCAGCACUCAUCAAACAACUGUCUCCUCAAGUUGCCCCCUAUUUCAAAUUCCCACUGCUCCUGUCCAUAUUCUGGCCACAUCACCUCUUACUUGGACAAUUUUAAAGCCUCUUGUCUUUGUUUCCAGUUAUUUCCUCCAUCUGUCUCUUCUGCAUACCUGGGCUACUAAAGUGGUUUUUCAAAACACUGCUCUGCCUAAAAUCCUCAAAGUCAUCCUCACUUACCUUUAUUUUUAUUUUAUUUAUUUAUUUAUUUAUUUGAGACAGAGUCUUGCUCGUUUCCCAGGCUGGAGUCCAGUGGCACGAUCUUGGCUCACUGUAACCUCUGCCUCCUGGGUUCAAGCGAUUCUCUUGCCUCAGCCUCCAGAGUAGCUGGGAUUACAGGCGCCCGCCCCGACACCCGGCUAAUUUUUGUAUUUUUAGUAGAGACAGGGUUUCACCAUGUUGGCCAGGCUGGUCUCGAACUCCUGACCUCAUGAUCCACCCGCCUCGGCCUCCCAAAGUGCUGGGAUUACAGGCGUGAGCCACAACGCCUGGCAUCUUACCUUUUUAUUGAGUGAGUGAGUGAGUGAGUGAGUGAGACAGAGUCUCACUCUGCCGCCCAGACUGAAGUGCAGUGGUGCAAUCUUCGCUCACUGCAACCUCUACCUCCCAGGUUGAAGCUAUUCCCCUGCCUAAGCCUCCCAAUUAGCUGGGACUACAGGUGCAUGCCACCAUGCCUGGCUAGUUUUUGUAUUUUUAGUAGAGGUUUUGCCACAUUGGCCAGGCUGGUCUCAAACUCCUGGCCUCAAGUGAUCUGCCCACCUUGGCCUCCCAAAGUGCUGGGAUUACAGGCAUGAGCCACCACACCUGGCCCUCACUUACCUUUAAAUGACUGAGGAGAGAAUCUAUGUUCUUUAGCAUGGGUUAAGAGGCCUUUCAUAACUUGGCUGUACCAGGCUUAUUUAUCACCCCUGCCCACCUCCCCCAAGUCAGCCAGUGUCACUCCAGCCACUAGGAACUGCUUAGGAUUCUCCCUUUUGCAUCUCUAGGGCUGCCCCUUCAGUCUAGAAUGUUCACUCAUUUAUUCUAUGCUCAUCCUUUAAGACCCAUCCCAGUUGUUCUCUCCCCCGGAACAAUUCCUGCCUCUUCCCCAUGCAGUUAACCUCUCCAGCCUCUGUGCUCUGCAAUCUUUUUCUUCAUGACCCUUUGGAGUUCUUCUCCUAUUACAUAGCACUUACUUACUGAUGUGUGUCUGUCUUCCCUACUAGACUGUGAGUGACUUCCUAGCAGGGGCCCUGAGUGAGGCCAUAGGUAGGACCUCGCAGCCUGCCUGGCACAUAGUAGGACUAAUGUCCUGCCAGCCACAUCCACAGGUGCCCAGACUAUGCAUCAGCUUUAAGCAGGCACCGGCAGUAUGUACCUGCUGGAAGCUCUCACGCAGAUGGCUUUGAUCCUCAGGGUGGCAGAACUCCAAAAUGUCCUUUCCCAGAAGAUCCUAAAUAAAAGAGACAAGCUUUAAUAAUCCCAGAUCCAUUUGUAAUUAUUUGUAUACUCACUGUGAUACAACAGUGUUCAUUUCCAUCUCCUUUAACUCAUCUCCUUUAGCCUGUCCUACCCCAGAUUUUUUGAAAAAGUGAAUGCAAAAUGUCCCUGGGAGCCAUCAGAGAACUGGCUUCUUGGUAUUCACUCUAAGUUCUUCUGGCAUGCUCAAUAUCCAUUUCUAAUUUUGCUAAGGCACUACAUCAGUAGCUUCAGAAUGCAAUUUUAUUUUUGUUUGUCUUGGAGAGGCAAACUGCAAUAAACAUAUUUUAAUAACAUGAAAAGAAAGCAAAAUGAUAGCCUGAGGACAGAUGUGUUGCUUAUGAAAACUGGAAUUGUUUAAAUGUGGAAAUUGUAGCUCUCCUGUGGCUGAAAAAAAUGAGGUUAUCAUAAAAUAACUGUACUUCUUAAAA
rnacentral:antisense_RNA from 1 species